rnacentral:rRNA from 1 species
AAACCUAAAGGCGUAAUGAAAGUAAAGGUUCUCCUCGCGAUGAACCUAGGGAAGACGAACGGUUUUGCACCCUUAAAAGUGGCCGUUCCGCACUCCCGGGGCGUCUCGUUCUCAUAGCGAGAAGAGGCGCACCAAGAGCGUACACSCUGGGACCCGAAAGAUGGUGAACUAUGCCYGGYMRGGMCRAAKUCRGGGGAAACCCUGAUGGAGGUCCGUAGCGAUUCUGACGUGCAAAUCGAUCGUCGGAACUGGGUAUAGGGGC